rnacentral:rRNA from 1 species
UACGUAGGGGGCAAGCGUUAUCCGGAUUUACUGGGUGUAAAGGGAGCGUAGACGGCGAUGCAAGUCUGAAGUGAAAGGCGGGGGCCCAACCCCCGGACUGCUUUGGAAACUGUAUGGCUGGAGUGCGGGAGAGGUAAGUGGAAUUCCUAGUGUAGCGGUGAAAUGCGUAGAUAUUAGGAGGAACACCAGUGGCGAAGGCGGCUUACUGGACUGUAACUGACGUUGAGGCUCGAAAGCGUGGGGAGCAAACAGG